UAGUAGAUGCACCCUGAUUCAAUUUUUACCUCAGUCCGUUAGGGGCUGGGGUUUUUUAUU
rnacentral:sRNA from 1 species